CUCUCCCCUGAGUCACCAUGGAAGACGUGACGAAGACCACCGUCCACACACAGAGCCCUAUUAAAACUGAAUGGAAUUCCCGCUGUGUCCUUUUCACCUAUUUCCAAGGGGACAUUAGCAGUGUGGUGGAUGAACACUUCUCCAGAGCUCUGGGCAAUGUCAAGAGCCCCCAGGGACAGAACCCUUCCAGCCCGAGCGGAGAUGUGCUGCUGAGGAAUGAUAGUGACAUGCCUCCAAAUCAGUGGCGUUUCUCUGCUCCGUGGACAAAGCCACAGCCGGAAGUACCUUUUGCAAAUGGCGCCGCCAGCUGCAGCUUGAAUGGAUCUGGUCUCAUGCCUAUGGAUCAGUACCCACUGUCCCUGACUGGGGGCCCCUCCGUUCAACCUGGCGAGCUGUGGCAUUUCUCCUCCCUCGCCAGCCCCAGCUUCCCAGAGCCUGGCUACCCUCAUGCUUUUUCCACUGGGCACUUGGUUCCGGAGCCCCAGGCUGAGGGGAAGUAUGAGCCCCUCCUAAGUCUCCUCCAGCCAGAGAGAUGCCUAACCCAUCCUCAAGAAUCUGCCUCGUGGGAGGAUGGCAACUCUGCCCAGAUGGCCGGAAGCACAGGAUUGCUCUUCAACCUGCCUCCCAGCUCAGCCCACUUUAAGAAAAUCUAUUUCCCCCCUGAUGGUGGACCUGCCGGUGCCAGCUUUGCAGUUGAAAGAAGCCAGUCUCCAGAGAGAAGAAGAGAUCUGUUCUUUUAUUGAACAUGGGUUUAAAGAAGAGAAUUCCUUUUUCCAAACCUGCUUCUGGUUUUCUGCUGUGAAUCCAGAGGGUCUGGAGACAUCACCGUCCUUUCUUCUUGUUGCCACCAAAGAGCACUGGGUUCAAAGCAAGUUUCUGUUCUCUCUGAAAUUCUAUACUUUUUCUUGGCACCUAUGCCCUGCAGCAUGUUUUUUGUUUUUUUUUUUAAACUUGUUAAGUGAAUCUUGAGCAUAUAAGAUGGUUAAAAGAGCUGUUUAGUGGUGGGGAGCAAACCUGUAGAUUGUUCCCAAUAAAAUGACAAAUUUCACCCUCUGUGUUCA
rnacentral:lncRNA from 1 species